GACGAACGCUGGCGGCGUGCUUAACACAUGCAAGUCGAACGGAAAGGCCCUGCUUUUGUGGGGUGCUCGAGUGGCGAACGGGUGAGUAACACGUGAGUAACCUGCCCUUGACUUUGGGAUAACUUCAGGAAACUGGGGCUAAUACCGGAUAGGAGCUCCUGCUGCAUGGUGGGGGUUGGAAAGUUUCGGCGGUUGGGGAUGGACUGGCGGCUUAUCAGCUUGUUGGUGGGGUAGUGGCUUACCAAGGCUUUGACGGGUAGCCGGCCUGAGAGGGUGACCGGCCACAUUGGGACUGAGAUACGGCCCAGACUCCUACGGGAGGCAGCGGUGGGGAAUAUUGCCCAAUGGGCGGAAGCCUGAUGCAGCAACGCCGCGUGCGGGAUGACGGCCUUCGGGUUGUAAACCGCUUUCGCCUGUGACGAAGCGUGAGUGACGGUAAUGGGUAAAGAAGCACCGGCUAACUACGUG
rnacentral:rRNA from 1 species